UACGAAGGGGGGCUAGCGUUGCUCGGAAUCACUGGGCGUAAAGGGUGCGUAGGCGGGUCUUUUAAGUCAGGGGUGAAAUCCUGGAGCUCAACUCCAGAACUGCCUUUGAUACUGAGGAUCUUGAGUUCGGGAGAGGUGAGUGGAACUGCGAGUGUAGAGGUGAAAAUUCGUAGAUAUUCGCAAGAACACCAGUGGCGAAGGCGGCUCACUGGCCCGAUACUGACGCUGAGGCACGAAAAGCGUGGGGAGCGAACAGG
rnacentral:rRNA from 1 species